CCGAUAUUAGCGAGCCUGACCUCAUGGGUCAUGGUCUCGUGAAAACUUGUAUUUAAAACCCCACUCUUGAAAAGAUGAAUGAAUCAAUUUAUGUAAUAUAUAAAUGAAAGA
rnacentral:misc_RNA from 1 species